CACGUAGGGGGCGAGCAUUGUCCGGAUUUACUGGGCGUAAAGAGCUCGUAGGCGGUUUCGUAAGUCGGAUGUGAAAACUCCAGGCUCAACUUGGAGACGCCAUUCGAUACUGCGAUGACUUGAGUCCGGUAGGGGAGUGUGGAAUUCCUGGUGUAGCGGUGAAAUGCGCAGAUAUCAGGAGGAACACCGGCGGCGAAGGCGGCACUCUGGACCGGUACUGACGCUGAGGAGCGAAAGCGUGGGUAGCAAACAGG
rnacentral:rRNA from 1 species